rnacentral:lncRNA from 1 species
GCCUCAGACUGCUGAGAUACACCAUCUGGCAGCCCAUGUGGAUCUGUUUUUUCACAUGUGGGGGCUUCACUCUUGCAAGACUCUACAGUUGCAUUUCCCCAAGCUUGUUCACCAGAAAUUGAGUUGGACACCAGCUCAGGUUCAAGCCCAGCAAGACGUUUUGAAGACCGACGAGACAAGUUAAGCUGCUGCUUGUUCUUGGAUUUCUUCAAGUUUAUCCGUGUUUUUUUAUUGUUGCUCUUUUCUACCUUAGUCUCCUGCAGUUUCUUCUCUGUCAGAAUAUCGGCUGUAGUUGAAACAGGAUCACUAUCAGGUAAAGAAUCCACCAGAGUUUCACCCAUCAUAGUCUUGCAUGGAUUUAAAUUAGUACCCCCAAAGGUUAAGGACAAAUGUGGUUCUGACUUGUCAUCAUUGGCUUCAGCAGAUUGCCCCCCAAUAAUAGCCAGGUUCCCAGAAGAUUUAAUUUUGUUCAAGGGCUUUCUACUUGAUGACACACAUUUUGUAAGUCCCAGUACCACAGAUGCACGAUUUGGAAGUCCCAGCACUGGGCCAGCCUUGAGCUGCUGAGAAACUUCAUCCACCAAACUACUCGAAGUCAAACAUGCAGUCAUGCCUUUACUUUUACAAGAUUCAGUAAUUAUGUUCUUAGGAGCUCGUACUCGUUCAAGGGACUCACAAUUGGCCAUCAUCUCAGGUUCAAGCCCGGCAAGACGUUUCGAAGACCGACGAGGCAAACUAAGCUCUUGCUUGUUCUUUGAUUGCAUUGAGUUUAUAUGAGUUUUUCUGCUGCUUCUCUUUUCCCCAUCGGUCGUCUGCAUGCUCGUCUCCUGCAGGAUAUCAGCUGCAGGAUUUAAAACAGGCCCACUAGCAAGAUUAGAAUUCACCGGUAGUUCACCAAUCAGAGCCUUGAAUGCAGGUCCCAGGCAUGGAUCUAAAUAAGAAUUCCCAAAGAAUAAGGAUACACGUUGUUCAGACAUGUCACCACUGGUUUCAGCAGAUUUCAACUUUUGCAAUUGCUCUCCAGGAGUGGUCCGGCUCCUUGAAGAUUUGACCUUGUUUAAUGGCUCUCCACUUGAUAGAAUGGUUACGUCAGACGACACAUUUGCAAGUUCUGGUACUGAGCCAGCCUUGAGAUGAGAUACUUUAUUCACCAAGCCCGUAGAAGUCAAAACUGCAGAUGAAAUGACCAUAUUUUUACAUGAUUCUGUAGUUACCUUUUUGGGAGCUUGUUCAAUGGACAUGCAGUUGGACACCAGCUCAGGUUCAAGCCCAACAAGACGUUUUGAAGACCGAAGAGGGAAGUUAAGCUUUUUCCUUUUUGCAGAUUUGGUCAUAUCAUUCAGAGUUUUUCCAUUGCUGCACUCAAUGUGACUAUCAAGUAAUCUUUGUUCUUGAAGACUAUCAAUAACAGGAGUUGAUACGGGCCCAUUAUCAGCAAAAACCAUUUUGCCUUGAUUUCUCUUUGAACGCCUUAAUUUUGGCAGCGCUGAACUGCUCAAAUUAGAGAUUACCUUGGUUUCAGCACCCUUAUCAAUCACCAUUUUAGCCAUUGGCUCUGGGGGAAUCUCAGCUGUGGGAGCUCCAGCAAGACGAGAUACCUCCUUGCCCCGCCUUUUAUUCAAGACCUCAGCCUUCAUAACUUCAGGGCUGCAUAUAUCAGAACUCUCCUUAACUGCAUCAGCAAAGUUUUAGCUCAUCACUUUUCCUGCAGUUGUUCUCUGAUUGCUUUGAGACAGUUACAUUUUAACAUCUCACCUGGAAACAGUUGUCUCCUGGUAGCAGUGUGAUCCAAUUUCAGCCUUUUAGCAUAGGGAAAUGGCUAAUAGACAGAAGGCAAAGCAAGAAAAAUUUGGUUAGAUACAAGAAAAUUUUUGUUAAUUGCCCAACAGCAAUAUAUAGGAAAUUAAAUGCUUUGGGCUAAAAAAAACAACUACUACUACUUCUUUCAGCUGAAAGAGACAGCCACAUCCAUAAAACUAGAAUUGCAGUGUGAAGCAACGUUCUAGACUUGGGAGUUGGAUAUGAGAAGAUUUAAAACUUGAACACGAACCAUACUGAGGAAACCCUUUAUUUCUCUUUCCGGUUGAAGACUGAAUAGGUAAGAAUUUGGAUUAAGUCAGAAUUAAUGUUAAUGCAUAUGUCGAAAAGAUGUUUAUUUUCAUUUUUUAAUGUAUGAUUAUCAAUUUGACAGUUGAGUCCUUUAAACUUGUCGUUAGAUAACUAGUACUUACAUGCUAGAAAUAAUUUUAAAGUAUAAAAAUUUGACAAAAUAAUAUUUUCAAGUUAAAGUUUGACAAAAUAAAUAGAGUUUAUUGAGUUACAUAAAAAUAUAUAUUUCCUAUUUAAAAAAUAAUAAUUAGCUAUAAAAUUUAUUUAAAACAAAUACAAUAUUAUACAUUAAUACACACACACAUACACAUUAAUAUAUGUAUAUAUAGACACCUAAUCUAGUGCACGACUAUGCACACCUACUGCACACGUGGCGGGUGCUCACUGGUGGAGCUGUGGGCCCCAAAACACAGCUCCACCAAUGGUAAAUAACCACUACGUGAUCGAAAUCCUCUGUGAAUAACCACUACCUGAUCGAAAUCCUCUGUGUCCGUGCAUCUACCUAUCUAAUCUAUCUAUCUA